GACGAACGCUGGCGGCGUGCCUAAUACAUGCAAGUAGAACGCUGAAGGAGGAGCUUGCUUCUCUGGAUGAGUUGCGAACGGGUGAGUAACGCGUAGGUAACCUGCCUUGUAGUGGGGGAUAACUAUUGGAAACGAUAGCUAAUACCGCAUAAUAGCAGUUGUUGCAUGAUAACUGUUUGAAAGUUGCAAUUGCACCGCUACCAGAUGGACCUGCUUUGUAUUAGCUAGUUGGUGGGGUAACGGCUCACUAAGGCGAGGAUACAUACCCGACCGGAGAGGGGGGUCGGCCAGACUGGGACUGAGACACGGCCCAGACUCCUACGGGAGGGAGCCGUAGGGAAUCUUCGGCAAUGGACGGAAGUCUGACCGAGCAACGCCGCGGGAGGGAAGAAGGUUGUCGGAUCGGAAAGCUCGGUUGUAAGAGAAGAACGAGUGUGAGAGUGGAAAGUUCACACUGUGACGGUAUCUGACCAGAAAGGGACGGCUAACUACGUG
rnacentral:rRNA from 1 species